CGCCCCCUGGCAAUGGGCAAAGAGACACCAGAUUUGUGGUGUUGUUCUUACAUCAGUCAGGGGCAAAGCAGAUGGCCGUCCUUUGUUCAUCCUAGCUUGAUGCCUGGCUCGGUGGCCAAAGCUAUUUCAUGCCUAGGGCACAUAA
ensembl:snoRNA LOC120094899 small nucleolar RNA SNORA48